rnacentral:rRNA from 1 species
GUGUCAGCAGCCGCGGUAAUACGGGGGGAGCAAGCGUUGUCCGGAAUCAUUGGGCGUAAAGGGCGUGUAGGCGGUUUGGCAAGUCGAAUGUGAAAUCCCACGGCUCAACCGUGGAACUGCGUUCGAAACUGCCUGACUUGAGUGCGGGAGAGGUGUGCGGAAUUCCUGGUGUAGCGGUGGAAUGCGUAGAUAUCAGGAAGAACACCGGUGGCGAAGGCGGCACACUGGCCCAGCACUGACGCUGAGGCGCGAAAGCGUGGGGAGCGAACGGGAUUAGAUACCCCCGUAGUCC